CCCGUGAUCACCUACAGCGAACCCCCCCGGGAUCGUCUACAGACUAAGUGGUUGUGGGCGGGGCCUGGAGCCCUGCUUAAGAUAUAGUCGAUACCCACGCCUCGCGGCCUGGGAUAGCUAGUCCGUAGGUGAACCUGCGGAAGGAUCAUUACUGAGAUUUGUCCUCCGGGACGGACCUCCAACCCUAUGUUUACUGUACCAUGUUGCUUCGGCAGGCCGGCCUCACGGCUACCAGCCCCUCCUAAGGGGGCUGGCCAGUGCCUGCCAGAAGCCCCACGAAACUCGUUUUGUCAGUGUCGUCUGAGUAAAUUUUAAUAAUUAAAACUUUCAACAACGGAUCUCUUGGUUCUGGCAUCGAUGAAGAACGCAGCGAAAUGCGAUAAGUAAUGUGAAUUGCAGAAUUCAGUGAAUCAUCGAAUCUUUGAACGCACAUUGCACCCUCUGGUAUUCCGGAGGGUAUGCCUGUUCGAGCGUCAUUAAACACAUUCAAGCCUGGCUUGGUAUUGGGACGCGCCUGCCCGGCGCCCCCUAAAAUCAGUGGUCGCCGCAGCACAACUUCCAGCGUAGUUACCUUUCUCGCUGGGGAGUUGGAGCCUGUGGUCCGCCAGAAUAGUAGCUCCUUAGAGUUUGACCUCGGAUCAGGUAGGGAUACCCGCUGAACUUAAGCAUAUCAAUAAGCGGAGGAAAAGAAACCAACAGGGAUUGCCUUAGUAACGGCGAGUGAAGCGGCAACAGCUCAAAUUUGAAAUCUGGCUUCGGCCCGAGUUGUAAUUUGUAGAGGAUGCUUAGGGUGUGGUUCCGGUCUAAGUUCCUUGGAACAGGACGUCAUAGAGGGUGAGAAUCCCGUAUGUGACCGGCCACCUUCGCCCGUGUUAAGCUCCUUCGACGAGUCGAGUUGUUUGGGAAUGCAGCUCUAAAUGGGUGGUAAAUUUCAUCUAAAGCUAAAUACUGGCCAGAGACCGAUAGCGCACAAGUAGAGUGAUCGAAAGAUGAAAAGCACUUUGGAAAGAGAGUUAAAUAGUACGUGAAAUUGUUGAAAGGGAAGCGCUUGCAACCAGACUUGCGCGCAGUUGAUCAUCCGGUGUUCUCACCGGUGCACUCGGUUGCGCUCAGGCCAGCAUCAGUUCUGGUGGUUGGAUAAAGGCCCAGGGAAUGUGGCUCCUCUCGGGGAGUGUUAUAGCCCUGGGUGCAAUGCAGCCUACCGGGACUGAGGACCGCGCUUCGGCUAGGAUGCUGGCGUAAUGGUUGUAAGCGACCCGUCUUGAAACACGGACCAAGGAGUCUAACAUCUAUGCGAGUGUUUGGGUGUCAAACCCAUACGCGUAAUGAAAGUGAACGGAGGUGAGAGCCCUUAAGGGUGCAUCAUCGACCGAUCCUGAUGUCUUCGGAUGGAUUUGAGUAAGAGCAUAGCUGUUGGGACCCGAAAGAUGGUGAACUAUGCGUGAUUAGGGUGAAGCCAGAGGAAACUCUGGUGGAGGCUCGUAGGGGUUCUGACGUGCAAAUCGAUCUCAAAAAUUGCGUAUAGGGGCGAAAGACUAAUCGAACCAUCUAAACCGACUGCUGGAUGGAAUAUUACAGCGUAGUCUGGCCGCGGCCAGGCAACACUACCACUGUGCGAGUAUGCCGAGAGGCUACCUGCAGCGGGGCCCAGCGCCCCGUCCACAGACUAAACGGUAGUGGCCCCCCGGGGUUCUGAUAUAGCCGAUUCCCACUGGCAAGUG
rnacentral:rRNA from 1 species